AGGCCCUUAGCUCAGUAGUAAAGCAUCUGCCUUGCAAGCAGAUGGUCCCAGGUUCAAUCCCAGCCAGGACUUG